rnacentral:rRNA from 1 species
GCCUGUCGAACGAAUCCCAGCGUGGCUUGCCCGCUGGGUGAAGUGGCGAAAGGGGCAGUAUGGCAUGGGUAACCUGCCCCGGGGACGGAGAUAGCCUUCCUAACGGGAGGGUAAUACCCGGCGACUUGGCCAGGGGGCAUCCAUUGACCACCAAAGGAGUUUCGCCCCUGGAGGGGCCCAUGUGCUAUUAGCUGGUUGGCGGGGUGACGGCCCACCAAGGUGAAGAUGGCUAGCGGGUGUGAGAGCACGACCCGCGCCACUGGCACUGAUACACUGGCCAGACUCCUACGGGAGGCUGCAGUCGAGGAUCUUCGGCAAUGGGCGCAAGCCUGACCGAGCGACGCCGCGUGCGCGAUGAAGGCCUUCGGGUUGUAAAGCGCUGUCGUGGGGGAGGAAGCCCGCAAGGGUUGACCUAUCCCAGGAGGAAGCACGGACUACGUUCGUGCCAGCAGCCGCGGUAAGACGAACCGUGCGAACAUUGUUCGGAAUCACUGGGCUUAAAGGGCGCGUAGGCGGCCCCGCCAGUCCGCGGUGAAAGCCCCCGGCCCAACCGGGGAAGGGACGUGGAUACUGCGGGGCUCGGGGGAGGUAGGGGCGGGCGGAACUUCCGGUGGAGCGGUGAAA